rnacentral:tRNA from 1 species
GGGAAAGUUGCUAUAGGUAGGGCAAGAUAUUUGCUAAAUAUUAUGUUUUAACAUAUAAUGGUUCGAAUCCAUUCUUUUCCG